rnacentral:sRNA from 1 species
CGCACUGCGUGUUAAGAUUUUGGUGGUUUUAGAGAUUGUCCGUGCCUCUUAUUUAGGGGUACGCCUGGAGGUGGGAGACUGCUGAGGAAAGAUUGAAACGUGGGAGGGCGGUUUCUUUGCUAACGAGAUCGUGCUCUUUAUGAAGCAGCAUCUGUCCCUGGUGAAAAGUUGCUGUGCAUGCUGAAGAGCCAGCACAGCAACGACUAGCGCAAUAGGCUGGCCUCAUUUCCUCUCUUCCCGGUAGAAUUCAAUGUUAACUGAAAACUAACCACGCGCCCCACUCCACCCCCGAGGGUCCUGCCUCUGGCUCUGGGUUAGCUCAGCUAUCCUGGAUCCCGAGCUCACGCACAGAAAAUCCAGGCGCCUGCCAACACCGUUACUCAGUUUUUGGGACCUUCUUUCUCAUUCCACGCCCCGCUUCCCACCCCCCGCGUUUCCUAUGGCUAGAAUCAUUUUCCGCAAAGGAAACAGUUUUUAGUGAUGUCGUCCACGAGAAAAAAAAAGAUUUAACCCUGGCUUCUGGGCUUUGUCAUUCUCGUACAGCCCUCUGCCCCUCCACACUGUUAUAAAGAAGCCCGUGGGCGGUCGAACCUUCCCUCUGCGGAAGGAGGACUGCAUUGUGUGCGGCCGCCGCGCUCCGAGGUCCCCGGGCCUCUGUCUCCCGAGCGUCCUCCUGCAGCGGGCCUUCGGGGCCGGUAGCCGGCUGGAGUACGGGGCCCUGGGGAGCCGCGCGCCUUCUCCGGCGUCCGGGUCGAGCGCAG